rnacentral:lncRNA from 1 species
CCGUUGGAGAAGAAAUGACCUUCGGUGAUGGUGACAAGGGCGAUAGCGCAGACGGUGGCCGACUUGACUCGGAUGUGGGGCGAGGGCGGAUUGAAUGGCGGUGAUAAGAUCGUGGCCGAGGCGAUGCUCACCAUUGCCGAUGCGAGUAAGGAUAAAGAUGCGGCUGCACUUCUUGAGAGAGGUGUUUAAAGAUGCGGCCGUGCUUCUUGAGAGGGGUGUUGGAAA